rnacentral:rRNA from 1 species
UGCGGUUAUACAAAUUAUAAAAAUUAAUUUUGUUAAUUUUAAUUAUUUAGAUGAAAAUUUUAAAAUUAAAUUUUUUUAGUGAAAUUUUAAAUUUUUAAUAAAAUUUAAGUUAGAUAAUAAUAUUAGGAAAUUUAAAUUGUAAACUAGGAUUAGAUACCCUAUUAUUUUAAAGGUAAUUUUACAUUAAAUUAGUAUUAGUUAUGAUCUUGAAAAUUAAAAAAUUUGGCGGUAUUUUAUUCUAUUCAGAGGAACCUGUUCUAUAAAUGAUACUCCACGAUUUAAUUUACUUUUAUUAUUAGUUUAUAUAUCGUUGUUAUUUAAAUAUUUUUGUAGAAUUUUAAUAUUUAAGAUUUUUGAUAAAAAAAUAUUUCAGAUCAAGGUAUAGUUUAUAUAAAAGUAGAAAUGGGUUACAAUAAAAUAAUUUUAGGAUUUAAAUUUAUAAAAUUUAAUUAAUUUGGAUUUGAUAGUAAUUUAAAUUAAUUUAUUUAAAUGAUUUUAGUAUUAAAAUAUGU